UUUAAUUCUUCAACUUUUCCACGUGUUCACGUGACAUUGUUUUGGAUAUAUAUACAUAUUAGUGUAUCAAAUAAUAUUUUGGAUAAGGUUGAAACUUGGCAGCAAAAUAUUAAGUCCCUUUUUCCAAAUAUAAUACUCCACUGCCUACGCCAUUAUGCAAUAUAUAUGUAUACGUAUGUAGAGGUGGACUUUGGGAGGAAAAUAACAUUUAUUACUCAAUAUUUUGAGAGAAAUUGUAUAACAUUUUCGUUCAUAUUCAAGCAACAAGAAGUUGCUGAAGUUUUUUUUAUCGUUCUUUUGUAAUUGAGAAAGCAUUCUUGGUCUCUUUCCUAAAAAAAAAAAAAAAUUACAACAUAGCAGCCCCUCGUGUUCUAAGCUAACGUUCCAACAUGAAAAUGGGGGUUUUGCCGACGGAAAGAGCUGCUCCAAGAUCAAGCAUAGUUAUGCACCUCCGUUGAUUUCAUGAUUAUAAUUUCGGUCCCCUCCGAAUCGUAGCAAUUUCGGGAUUACUUUGUGUUGAAGUUGAAGCUUUCUUCUAGUUGAAGUAUCCUAAGAUUAAAGCUGUUCUUGUGUGAUUGAGGUAAGAUUACAUCUUUUCUAUAUGUUCUUGAGUUAGUUUGGUCAUUAGUCAACUUGUAAGAUAAAGGAAUUGUGGAAGACAAGUUAGGAUACCUACUAGAGCUCUUGUUAGUUUUGUGGGCCGAUUUGGAAUAUGAUCUUGAGUCAUUAAGGCUGGAUUUUAUAAAAUAGGUUGGGGUUGAUGUUGUUGUUAAGUUGUUGUUCUUGAAUUUGGUGGAAGAAAGUGUAUAAAAACAUCGUAUACCAAGCGUAUAUUGGGCUGUUUUGGCUUAUAUCUUUGGAAGUUGAUGUUUUGAGUUUAAAGACGCUUAUAUGAGGUUGUUGUUGAUGUUAUACUUGUUGUGCAGCUCUGGUUGUUGUUAUUGUUGUGAAUAUGUGGAGUUGGAGGAAGUCAAUGUUAUAGGGGAGAUGCUGCCCAAAUUUAUAUAGACAAAUUACUAACGUUGAGAUUCUACUAAGUCUCUUUAUGGUGUUAAUCAUGGACCUAAAUGUAGAUUGAAUUGUAUUGUGGACUGCUUUUGAAAGCAUUGGGGAGACAAGGAGAUUCAGGUACAGACACUCAGUCCGGUGAUCCUCCAGAUUAGGACUUCUGCUCAGCUGUUUGGAGAACUCCAUUGUCCGGAGCCUAGAUAUUCUGGUACAGAUCUUCUCAUAUAGACUUAUAUAUAUUCAGGGGUACGGCGGGGCCCUGUCCCGUCAUAUUUCACUCUUAUAACUCUUAGAGGUCUGUAAACAUAUGUAGGUUGUAUAUGGGUUAUGCUCAGCCGUGUCGAUAUGAUUUGUUCUGGAUAUUCCCGUAUGUAGUGGCAGCCUUGUCGGCUUGCAUAUUAUGUCGUGCUUUGGUUAGCUGUGACUCCUCAGGAGACAGGUUAUUAUGAUAUAUGGCGUUAUGAAUC